rnacentral:rRNA from 1 species
CUCGUAGGCGGCCAACUAAGUCAGACGUGAAAUCCCCAGGCUCAACCUGGGAACUGCGUCUGAUACUGGAUGGCUUGAAUCCGGGAGAGGGAUGCAGAAUUCCAGGUGUAGCGGUGAAAUGCGUAGAUAUCUGGAGGAAUACCGGUGGCGAAGGCGGCAUCCUGGACCGGCAUUGACGCUGAGGAGCGAAAGCCAGGGAGCGAAACG